GAAGCCCAUAAGGAGCUUCACAUGCUUGUAUCUCUCUCCCCUCUUAUUGUACAAUGGCACUGCUCGGAUUCCUGAUCGCAGAUCUUUCACCGGCAAACAUGUCUGCCCCGCGAAGUCAUCUUUUCCAGAUGUGUCGUAAUCACGAACAAUUAUUUGUAGAAAAGCCAAUUCAGGAGUGCUUAUUGAGAAACUAAACUCCUCAUUCCAAACAGAAGGUCUGGAGAUCUGAUCCACGUUUCAUCUUCUUUGCACGAAUAGCAAUCAAACUUUCAUAUUCUGGAAUAGCAAUAUCUUCAUCUUUAUCCAACAUCUCCAGAUACUCCUGCAAGUCAGAAUGAGAACUGCAUCAAGAAUUCUACAUCAUGUUCACUUGUGGAAAGCAAUUUCAGAAGUUAAGGAGAUUAUGUAACUGUGAAUCUUUUCAGGUUUGUCUAAAUGUUACAGAUUUUGUUACAUCAUUAUAAGUUACUUAUUUUCAUGAAAGAUGUGUAAAAUAAUGAUAUGAACCUCAUCUAUAUCGUCUUGAGAAUUUGCACUCUGAUCAUCUGCUGGUGGUUUUUCCUUGGUUCUGCGCUCUGGUGGUUUGGUAGAAAUCAGAAUCUUUCCCUUAAGUAACUCUGGCGAUGGAAAUUGAUGAACGUCUUCUCCACGUUUAGGAACAUAGAGGAUGUCCCUAAAUGUUGAAUUAAGCAUCUGCACUUUAUUACAGAGGUAAAAGAAGAAUUCAUGGUACUUAAAAGAUAAUGGAAGUCUUUGCUUUGGUCUGUUUGUCACUAUUCUAUUAGACUUCAAACUUUGAGAUGGGUGUCUUCUCUAUUUGGUUCUAAAA